rnacentral:rRNA from 1 species
UUUCAACUUGAGAGUUUGAUCCUGGCUCAGAACGAACGCUGGCGGCAGGCUUAACACAUGCAAGUCGAGCGCCCCGCAAGGGGAGCGGCAGACGGGUGAGUAACGCGUGGGAACGUACCAUUUGCUACGGAAUAACUCAGGGAAA